rnacentral:sRNA from 1 species
AUUGUGGUGCAUGAUUCACUCUGGGCGAGACAAGGAGGACCAUCACUGAGCCACCACGUGCGCCACUCCGCAACAGAUCUUCUUCCUACCCCCUGUCCUUCUUCCACCAGAUCUCUGCUGAUAAGAAAAGCCUGGGGAGGUUCUGUGGGCAACUGGGUUCUCCACUGGGCAACCCCCCGGGAAAGAAGGAAUUUAUGUCCCAAGGGAACAAGAUGCUGCUGACCUUCCACACAGACUUCUCCAACGAGGAGAAUGGGACCAUCAUGUUCUACAAGGGCUUCCUGGCCUACUACCAAGCUGUGGGCCUCUGGUGAGUGACCUCCCUAAGAUCAGAGCCACUACUCAGGUCUCCCAGCAGAAGCUUAACCCUCCUUCCCGAAUGCCUUCCAGACCUUGAUGAAUGUGCUUCCCGGAGCAAAUCAGGGGAGGAGGAUCCCCAGCCCCAGUGCCAGCACCUGUGUCACAACUACGUUGGA